GGAGGAGUGGCCGAGUGGCUGAAGGCGGUCGCCUCGAAAGCGACUAUACCAGAAAUGGUAUCGGGGGUUCAAAUCCUCCCUCCUCCG
rnacentral:tRNA from 2 species